UUGACCUCGGAUCAGGUAGGGAUACCCGCUGAACUUAAGCAUAUCAAUAAGCGGAGGAAAAGAAACCAACAGGGAUUGCCCUAGUAACGGCGAGUGAAGCGGCAACAGCUCAAAUUUGAAAUCUGGCGUCUUCGGCGUCCGAGUUGUAAUUUGCAGGAGGGCGCUUUGGCAUUGGCAGCGGUCCAAGUUCCUUGGAACAGGACGUCACAGAGGGUGAGAAUCCCGUACGUGGUCGCUAGCCUUUACCGUGUAAAGCCCCUUCGACGAGUCGAGUUGUUUGGGAAUGCAGCUCUAAAUGGGAGGUAAAUUUCUUCUAAAGCUAAAUACUGGCCAGAGACCGAUAGCGCACAAGUAGAGUGAUCGAAAGAUGAAAAGCACUUUGGAAAGAGAGUUAAAAAGCACGUGAAAUUGUUGAAAGGGAAGCGCUUGCAGCCAGAUUUGCCUGUAGUUGCUCAUCCGGGUUUCUACCCGGUGCACUCUUCUACGGGCAGGCCAGCAUCAGUUUGGGCGGUUGGAUAAAGGUCUCUGUCAUGUACCUCUCUUCGGGGAGAACUUAUAGGGGAGACGACAUGCAACCAGCCUGGACUGAGGUCCGCGCAUCUGCUAGGAUGCUGGCGUAAUGGCUGUAAGCGGCCCGUCUUGAAACACGGACCAAGGAGUCUAACAUCUAUGCGAGUGUUUGGGUGUCAAGCCCGAGCGCGUAAUGAAAGUGAACGGAGGUGGGAACCUUUCGGGGUGCACCAUCGACCGAUCCUGAUGUCUUCGGAUGGAUUUGA
rnacentral:rRNA from 1 species